GAUACAGAGUUCUGGUGGUGGGAACUGUGUGGAGGUGUACCCCUCUUAUCCUAUGGUCUUGCCAGUGUUUCUAUUUUAUAAAUAAAAAAAUAACUAAAUUCUAUUCAUGAAGGUAAAAAAAAAAAGUCCUUUGAUCCCUCAGAGGUUAGCCAUCCCCAAUUAUUUGUCAAAAAUAAAUGCUCAUUACAUUAGGGAGGGGGGACAGGAUGUUAAAACUUUUCCUGAAUCACACAACUUUUUUUUUUUUUUAAACCAGAGGACUGCUCAGCUCUGGCUUAUGGUGAUGCUGCAGACUGAAACUGGAGUCCUUUUGCACAACCAUUAUGCUAUCUGCCCAGCCCGCAGUUUCCCGACUGAACUGGGAACUGCUGAGAGAUCUAUCAACCCCAAGGCUAACUCAGUCCAAUUCUACAGCGUCCAGCCAACACAGGGGGGCAGCUGACAACUCAUCACUUUUGAUGGAUGGCACUAGCUGUCACUUAGUACCCGGAAGGGGAAGAAGCAGAUUGUAGGAGAUCGCAAACAGCUGCCAUUAGGAUCAGACGGCCCUACUUUAAGGCACGACACCUCCUUUUUGGAAGCAAAAGCCAUCUAAGACCACUUACAAAAUGCCCCCAGUGGUAGACUGCACACUCUACUGACACCAGAAGAUGGGACUGCGCCCCCUCCCUAACACUCACUACUCAACAAUGAAAAUGUCUGGGAGCCAGAGGUUCUUGGUCGCCACACUGAUCUUCGUGAUGCCCUCGCAGUCCUCUGGAUCCCAUCUGAUGAAAGGGUUGUCCCACACCUAGAAUCCAGGUGGAAGAGAGAUGCAUCUCUCAACAAGAUCCUGCUGACUCAGGGCUGCUGAAGUGAGAUGUCUCUAAACUGAAACCCUCAAUGCAGGUUGUCCUGAGAUUCAGGCUUGACACCCCCACCCCUCAAGAUCCUUGGAGCCCUGGGAAGAGCUGGGCACUGUGAGUUUUUUUUUCCCCCAGUACUUUUUGUUGUUAAUAGUUCAACAGUAUUGAUCUGUUGACCUGAGGUGGAUCUUUUAUUCAUGGUUUGCUAUUGUU